rnacentral:lncRNA from 1 species
CAGAGUCGGAGGACAAAUACCUCAUUAUAGUUGAAGUUCUCUUUCGCCGAUACUAGAUGUGUAGUCGGUUCGCCUGGGGGUUGGAUGGACUGGCGUCAUUUCACAAAGGAGGAGGAAAAAUAGAGUCCCAAGGAUGUAGCAAGAAGACGAGAAACAGGAGAGCUGGUCGGAGAUCUGGCACUCGCCAAGUUUCUGCUGUGUCUGCCUGUCGAUCGAGACGGGAGGUAUUUCAUUUCUCAGGGAUAUUAUACCAACUUUCUUUCGAUGAUCAGAGCCCGACUUAUUGUAGUAAGCGAGCACGUCCAAAUCAC